UCCUGUACAGAAUUGUGGUUUCAAGCAUAUCGCUCUAACACAUAAUUACAAUCACGAAAACCAAGGUUCAAGAAGGAAACUUCGACUAGCUGUAUAAACUGCGUGGCAAGUUCCUAAACUAUACUUCUAAGACCUUAUAUAAUUUUCCGAAUUAUUGACCACUAAACAGUCACCUGGCACCUAUCUAAGAGCCCGGACUGCCAAUUUAUCAGUAUCUAUCCAGCUUUUCCAACAAUAGAGAACCAAUCUCACACAAACCCCUGUUUCAAGAGGAAAAGGGAUACAGGAACAAAGGAAAAAAUCUAUCAUUUCGAAGUAAUUUUGGAGACACAACUAGGAACAGACAGAUCGGCUGGAGUGCAUACCAGCGCCCUUUGUUGUAAAUGUCUCAAACUUUGUUCCAUGCUAACUUGUACCAUCUCAGCGAGCAUCUCCUUUGCUUUUCCUGAUUGCUCUUCACAAUCUAUCUGAGAUAUGAGACUGGAUACAAUGUUCUCUAAUGUGUCAGGCUCAAGCUCAGACCUCGGGUAAGGAGUGUCUCUCAGCAACCUCAAAAGUGUUUGCGCUUUAGUCCGAGACUUGGCUGUUCCUUGAACAGUCAGCUCAAGGAGCCCAGGAAUCACGCCUUCUCUGAGAAUUGGUUCUCGGUAUUUAGUGCGGUCACUCUGACACAUUGUCAGAAGAGCUCCUACAGCAUGUUCUCGGCUUUGAGCAGAUCCACUUUCAAGCACUUCCACCACCGCAAGUACUCCCCCAUCUUCAGAUAUCAAUGAACUCCUACCCUCUUCAUAACACAUCAAAGAUUCUAUAAGAGCAGUGCAUCUUUCAGUAGUUUUUGAAGACUUUUUACAGGAUUUAAGCAGAGAAACAGUAGAAGGAAUUGGUUGUGCCCGCAGAAUCGAUAGUAGAUUGUCUUGAUAAGUUGACAGGUUGGAAAGAGCCAUCACGGCAUCCGCCUUGGCUUGUGAACUACCGUGCCUUAUGAUUUCCACUAGCAGAGAGAAAACACCAGAAGCACUAAUUAUGGGUUUAGUGGCAGGAGAAGCAGAUAAUGUGAGCAAAGCAGCAGUAGCAUGAUCCUGGAGAAUUGCAUUCUCUGAUUGAAGAAAGUCAACGAUGGGUUCCAGAGCACCAGCAUCUAUGAUACUUAUCUUGUUUCCUUCGUCUUUUACAGCGAGAUUAAGGAGUGCAAGAAGAGCGGCUUCAUUAGAUUCAAAAGAUUCCGAACGAAGCAUAUCAACGAGAGGUUUAACGGCGUUAGAAAAAUGACGUCGGUAACGUUGAGAAGUCUUAGUUAAACGGCGGAUCUCCUUCGCCGCUUGUACUUUCAAAGUGGGGUCAUCAGAAUGAAUAAGAAAAAGUGUUUGUUGGACUGCGGAGGACGACGUCGUCGUUCGCCGAAUAUCUCCAUCGGAAAAGUUGUCGGCGGCACUGACCGGACUGUUCAAGUAGACAGAAUUCUCGCCCUCCGAGUCCAUAAUUUUUUGGGAGUGAAUUAUUGGGAGCAAUACAGAGUUAUUGUAUUAAUGGAGAAGAGAAAAAAUAAAUAUCUGAGGGUGAGCUUAUUCAAAGCUCAGAGGAAGAGAGCAUACACAAAAUGGUUUAAAG
rnacentral:misc_RNA from 1 species